UCAGCUCUAGUUAAUUUACAAGUAUUUUGAUUUAAUAUCUGGAAAUAAAAGCAACUAUACUGCAUUGUGUUGAGAUCUGUAUUAAUAUGAAUCAUUCUAUCUUGGCAAGAUUUCUAGAAAUUGCCCAUGUUCACGUUUGGCUGUGAACAUUUUAAGAGAAACACAUUUGACUUAGUAACAUAGAAAAUAGGUGCA